rnacentral:rRNA from 1 species
AGCAGCCGCGGUAAUUCCAGCUCCAAUAGCGUAUAUUAAAGUUGUUGCAGUUAAAAAGCUCGUAGUUGAAUUUCGGGGUUAGUAGGUUGGUCAUGCCUCUGGUAUGUACUGGUCUCACUGAUUCCUCCUUCCUGAUGAACCUUAAUGCCAUUAAUUUGGUGUUUUGGGGAAUUUGGACUGUUACUUUGAAAAAAUUAGAGUAUUUAAAGCAAGCUAACGCUUGAAUACAUUAGCAUGGAAUAAUGAAAUAGGACGUUCGAUCCUAUUUUGUUGGUUUCUAGGAUUGACGUAAUGAUUAAUAGGGAUAGUUGGGGGCAUUAGUAUUCAAUUGUCAGAGGUGAAAUUCUUGGAUUUAUUGAAGACUAACUACUGCGAAAGCAUUUGCCAAGGAUGUUUUCAUUAAUCAAGAACGAAAGUUAGGGGAUCGAAGACGAUCAGAUACCGUCGUAGUCUUAACCAUAAACUAUGCCGACUAGGGAUCGGAUGAUGUUAAUUUUUUAAUGACUCAUUUGGCGCCUUACG